rnacentral:tRNA from 1 species
GGAUCCUUAGCUCAGUCGGUAGAGCAGGUGGCUGUUAACCACUGUGUCCCAGGUUCGAUUCCUGGAGGGUCCG